rnacentral:rRNA from 1 species
GACGAACGCUGGCGGCGUGCUUAACACAUGCAAGUCGAACGGAAAGGCCCUGCUUUUGUGGGGUGCUCGAGUGGCGAACGGGUGAGUAACACGUGAGUAACCUGCCCUUGACUUUGGGAUAACUUCAGGAAACUGGGGCUAAUACCGGAUAGGAGCUCCUGCUGCAUGGUGGGGGUUGGAAAGUUUCGGCGGUUGGGGAUGGACUCGCGGCUUAUCAGCUUGUUGGUGGGGUAGUGGCUUACCAAGGCUUUGACGGGUAGCCGGCCUGAGAGGGUGACCGGCCACAUUGGGACUGAGAUACGGCCCAGACUCCUACGGGAGGCAGCAGUGGGGAAUAUUGCACAAUGGGCGGAAGCCUGAUGCAGCAACGCCGCGUGCGGGAUGACGGCCUUCGGGUUGUAAACCGCUUUCGCCUGUGACGAAGCGUGAGUGACGGUAAUGGGUAAAGAAGCACCGGCUAACUACGUGCCAGCAGCCGCGGUGAUACGUAGGGUGCGAGCGUUGUCCGGAUUUAUUGGGCGUAAAGGGCUCGUAGGUGGUUGAUCGCGUCGGAAGUGUAAUCUUGGGGCUUAACCCUGAGCGUGCUUUCGAUACGGGUUGACUUGAGGAAGGUAGGGGAGAAUGGAAUUCCUGGUGGAGCGGUGGAAUGCGCAGAUAUCAGGAGGAACACCAGUGGCGAAGGCGGUUCUCUGGGCCUUUCCCGACGCUGAGGAGCGAAAGCGUGGGGAGCGAACAGGCUUAGAUACCCUGGUAGUCCACGCUGUAAACGGUGGGUACUAGGUGUGGGGUCCAUUCCACGGGUUCCGUGCCGUAGCUAACGCUUUAAGUACCCCGCCUGGGGAGUACGGCCGCAAGGCUAAAACUCAAAGGAAUUGACGGGGCCCCGCACAAGCGGCGGAGCAUGCGGAUUAAUUCGAUGCAACGCGUAGAACCUUACCUGGGUUUGACAUGGAUCGGGAGUGCUCAGAGAUGGGUGUGCCUCUUUUGGGGUCGGUUCACAGGUGGUGCAUGGCUGUCGUCAGCUCGUGUCGUGAGAUGUUGGGUUAAGUCCCGCAACGAGCGCAACCCUUGUUCACUGUUGCCAGCACGUUAUGGUGGGGACUCAGUGGAGACCGCCGGGGUCAACUCGGAGGAAGGUGGGGAUGACGUCAAGUCAUCAUGCCCCUUAUGUCCAGGGCUUCACGCAUGCUACAAUGGCUGGUACAGAGAGUGGCGAGCCUGUGAGGGUGAGCGAAUCUCGGAAAGCCGGUCUCAGUUCGGAUUGGGGUCCGCAACUCGACCUCAUGAAGUCGGAGUCGCUAGUAAUCGCAGAUCAGCAACGCUGCGGUGAAUACGUUCCCGGG